rnacentral:rRNA from 1 species
AUUGAACGCUGGCGGUAUGCUUAACACAUGCAAGUCGAACGCGAAAGUGACCUUCGGGUCUUGAGUAGAGUGGCGGACGGGUGAGUAACGCGUAGGAAUCUGCCUGGUAGCGGGGGACAACCUGGUGAAAACCAGGCUAAUACCGCAUACGCCCUACGGGGGAAAGCAGGGGAUCUUCGGACCUUGCACUAUCAGAUGGGCCUGCGUCGGAUUAGCUAGUUGGUGAGGUAAUGGCUCACCAAGGCGACGAUCCGUAGCUGGUUUGAGAGAAUGAUCAGCCACACUGGGACUGAGACACGGCCCAG